rnacentral:rRNA from 1 species
UACGGAGGGGGCUAGCGUUGUUCGGAAUUACUGGGCGUAAAGCGCGCGUAGGCGGCUUUGUAAGUUAGCGGUGAAAGCCCGGGGCUCAACCCCGGAACUGCCUUUAAGACUGCAUCGCUUGAAUCCAGGAGAGGUGAGUGGAAUUCCGAGUGUAGAGGUGAAAUUCGUAGAUAUUCGGAAGAACACCAGUGGCGAAGGCGGCUCACUGGCCUGGUAUUGACGCUGAGGUGCGAAAGCGUGGGGAGCAAACAGG